UACGAAGGGGGCUAGCGUUGUUCGGAUUUACUGGGCGUAAAGCGCACGUAGGCGGAUCGUUAAGUCAGGGGUGAAAGUCCUGAGCUCAACUCCAGAACUGCCUUUGAUACUGGCGAUCUUGAGUCCGGAAGAGGUGAGUGGAACUCCUAGUGUAGAGGUGGAAUUCGUAGAUAUUAGGAAGAACACCAGUGGCGAAGGCGGCUCACUGGUCCGGUACUGACGCUGAGGUGCGAAAGCGUGGGGGAGCAAACAGGGAUUAAGAAAACCCCG
rnacentral:rRNA from 1 species